rnacentral:rRNA from 1 species
UACGUAGGGUGCGAGCGUUUAAUCGGAAUUACUGGGCGUAAAGCGUGCGCAGGCGGUUGUGCAAGACCGAUGUGAAAUCCCCGGGCUUAACCUGGGAAUGGCAUUGGUGACUGCACGGCUAGAGUGUGUCAGAGGGGGGUAGGAAUUCCACGUGUAGCAGUGAAAUGCGUAGAGAUGUGGAGGAAUACCGAUGGCGAAGGCAGCCCCCUGGGAUAACACU